AGAGUUUGAUCAUGGCUCAGAUUGAACGCUGGCGGCAUGCCUUACACAUGCAAGUCGAGCGGCAGCGCGGGGGCAACCCUGGCGGCGAGCGGCGAACGGGUGAGUAAUGCAUCGGAACGUGUCCUCUUGUGGGGGGAUAACCAGUCGAAAGACUGGCUAAUACCGUAUGAGAUCGAGAGAUGAAAGCAGGGGACCGCAAGGCCUUGCGCGAGAGGAGCGGCCGAUGCCGGAUUAGCUAGUUGGUGGGGUAACGGCCUACCAAGGCGACGAUCCGUAGCUGGUCUGAGAGGACGACCAGCCACACUGGGACUGAGACACGGCCCAGACUCCUACGGGAGGCAGCAGUGGGGAAUUUUGGACAAUGGGGGCAACCCUGAUCCAGCCAUGCCGCGUGUGUGAAGAAGGCCUUCGGGUUGUAAAGCACUUUCGGACGGAACGAAAUCGCGCGAGUUAAUAGUUCGCGUGGAUGACGGUACCGUAAGAAGAAGCACCGGCUAACUACGUGCCAGCAGCCGCGGUAAUACGUAGGGUGCGAGCGUUAAUCGGAAUUACUGGGCGUAAAGUGUGCGCAGGCGGCCGCGCAAGUCGAGUGUGAAAUCCCCGAGCUUAACUUGGGAAUUGCGCUCGAAACUACGUGGCUGGAGUGUGGCAGAGGAAGGUGGAAUUCCACGUGUAGCGGUGAAAUGCGUAGAUAUGUGGAGGAACACCGAUGGCGAAGGCAGCCUUCUGGGCCAACACUGACGCUCAUGCACGAAAGCGUGGGGAGCAAACAGGAUUAGAUACCCUAGUAGUCC
rnacentral:rRNA from 1 species